rnacentral:rRNA from 1 species
GACGAACGCUGGCGGCGUGCUUAACACAUGCAAGUCGAACGGAAAGGCCCUGCUUUUGUGGGGUGCUCGAGUGGCGAACGGUUGAGUAACACGUGAUUAACCUGCCCUUGACUUUGGGAUAACUUCAGGAAACUGGGGCUAAUACCGGAUAGGAGCUCCUGCUGCAUGGUGUUGGUUGGAAAGUUUCGGCGGUUGGGGAUGGACUCGCGGCUUAUCAGCUUGUUGGUGGGGUAGUGGCUUACCAAGGCUUUGACGGGUAGCCGGACUGAGAGGGUGACCGGCCACAUUGGGACUGAGAUACGGCCCAGACUCAUACGGGAGGCAGCAGUGGGGAAUAUUGCAAAAUGGGCGGAAGCCUGAUGCAGCAACGCCGCGUGCGGGAUGACGGCCUUCGGGUUGUAAACCGCUUUCGCCUGUGACGAAGCGUGAGUGACGGUAAUGGGUAAAGAAGCACCGGCUAACUACGUG